AAAAAAAAAAAAAGAAUCGAAAUGACUUCAGGUUCAAGGUGACUGUAUUUAUUUUUCACAGCUCCUCGUACAAACCAUUAUAAAUGCUGUGGUCAACCGUUUUCAUCAACUUUUCUCCAAUCAUACAAUGGAAAGCUUCACUUUGAAUCAUUCCAUCCUCAUAAUUUCUCUCCAUCUUCUUAUCUUCUCUCUCUCCAUCUUCAAUCUCUCAGUCCCGGCAGCAGCAACAAGUUUAGGUUGUGCACUUGUGAAUUGUGGGGAAGGAACAUGCAAGGAUUCCAAUUCCUCAGUGCUCGGUUUUGAAUGGAAUGCAAUCCCGGCUGGAAGAAGAUUCAGAUUGGUCCCUUGACCUUCCCUUCUUGUGUUCUUCCUAACUGUUCGAUAGAUCUUCAAUGUACAUGCAUCUUCACCAGCACUCUCUCUGCCUCAAUUAAACGUUGUGCUCUUGUAUGGUGCGGAAAAGGAACUUGUGUUGCCAAUGAAACUGGAUACAAAUGCCAGUGCUCUCAGGGCGCUGCUAAUUUGUCGGCAACGCAGCCUGGCUUGUUUAGAUACCUGCUCUUUUGGAGCAGAUUGUGACGGGCUCGGGUUGGGCCUGCCAACGCCUAAUCCACCACCACCUCCAGUAAAAUCGGGAUCCACAACUGAAACUGGACCUGCUCCAGCAAGUAACUGUGCAAGAAAUCUUCGUGCAUUAACAAUGAUGCUGUUUGCAACAGUCACCCUGGCAUGGUUUUAGAGAGCUUUGUUAACAGAUUGAUUAUGAUUUUUGUUUUUCUAAUCUUGAUUAUUAUGACUUAUUUAUAUGGAGAACAAUAUAAUAUACAUUGUGUAUAAGGAUAAAUUAGCUUCAUUAAUAAUGCCACAUUCUUAUUUAAAGCU